GCACUUGCAUGUGCUGUUUUCACUAGGAGUGUUAUUGUUUUCCAUCAAUCAUAUCAAUGCUAGACUGUCUAAUGCUCUCCUGGCAUUUUUGCGUAGCAGUGCAUGUUUACAGAGAGGACAUUCUGAGACUACAUUGUGUUACUCAAGAACACAAUAAAAUUAGUGCCACCCUCCCCACCCAUGGCAAGCAUGCAAAACAACUGCAUUGAAAUAUUUGCUAUAACUUGGUUAAUUUAUUGCAUUGCAGAUACCUUCAAGCUGCUUUGCAGACCAUCUGUAGAGGUCUUUCAGAUCAAAAUCCUUUGGUUCAGAAUGCUGCUCUGUUUGCACUGGGUCAGUACUCAGAGUACUUGCAGCCAGAUAUCAGUAAAUACAGUGCCGAUAUACUUCCACUUCUGUUUGAGAAACUUGUGAAUACUUCAGAAAGUGAACAAAAAUCAUCCAGCGUAACAAGGACUUAUUAUGCACUGGAAACGUUUUGUGAAAAUCUAGGUAAUGUUGGUCUUCUACGGGUUUUGUUUAAAACACAGAACUACUUGAUGGGAAUUUUAAGCUCCAUUAGAAAACAGCCCUAAGAAAAUACGUGCGCU